CCUGACUAUUGAUUGGAAGGACUGAUGCUGAAGCUGAAGCUCCAAUACUUUGGUCACCUGAUACGAAGAACUGACUCAUUGGAAAAGACCCUGAUGCUGGGAAAGAUUGAAGGCAGGAGGAGAAGGGGACAACAGAGAAUGAGAUGGUUGGAUGGCAUCACCGACUCAAUGGACAUGAGUUUGAGUAAGGUCUGGGAGUUAGUGAUGGACAGACAUCUUCUGCCGUGCACAUGGUGAUACCGGAAAGCUGACCUAUCUAGAGCAGAGAAGAAGCAGACACACAGCGAUAAACAGAGUGAUACAGGGCUUCUCGCCACCUGAUGUGAAGAACUGACUCGUUGGAAAAGACCCUGAUGCUGGGAAAGAUUGAAGGCGGGAGGAGAAGGGGACGACAGAGGAGGAGACGGUUGAAUGGCUCAAUGGACGUGAGUUUGAGCAAGCUCCAGGAGUUGGUGAUGGACAGGGAAGCCUGGCAUGCUGCAGUCCAUGGGGUUGCAAAGAGUUGGACACGACUGAGCUGAACUGAACUGAACUGAACCCUCUUGCUGGAGAUUGUGUUGAGGACCAAAGAGGGACAGACAUGAACAAACUAGAAGAUGAACAG
ensembl:lncRNA